rnacentral:rRNA from 1 species
AAGCCUGAUGCAGCCAUGCCGCGUGUAUGAAGAAGGCCUUCGGGUGUAAAGUACUUUCAGCAGUGAGGAAGGUGGGUAUGUUAAUAGCAUACUCAUUUGACGUUAGCUGCAGAAGAAGCACCGGCUAACUCCGUGCCAGCAGCCGCGGUAAUACGGAGGGUGCGAGCGUUAAUCGGAAUUACUGGGCGUAAAGCGCAUGCAGGUGGUUUGUUAAGUCAGAUGUGAAAGCCCGGGGCUCAACCUCGGAAUUGCAUUUGAAACUGGCAAACUAGAGUACUGUAGAGGGGGUAGGAAUUUCAGGUGUAGCGGUGAAAUGCGUAGAGAUCUGAAGGAAUACCGGUGGCGAAGGCGGCCCCCUCGGACAGAUACUGACACUCAGAUGCGAAAGCGUGGGGAGCAAACAGGAUUAGAUACCCUGGUAG